rnacentral:rRNA from 1 species
CCAGACUCCUACGGGAGGCAGCAGUGGGGAAUAUUGGGCAAUGGGCGCAAGCCUGACCCAGCAACGCCGCGUGAAGGAAGAAGGCUUUCGGGUUGUAAACUUCUUUUAUGAGGGACGAAAGAAAUGACGGUACCUCAUGAAUAAGCCACGGCUAACUACGUGCCAGCAGCCGCGGUAAUACGUAGGUGGCAAGCGUUAUCCGGAUUUACUGGGUGUAAAGGGCGUGUAGGCGGGACUGCAAGUCAGAUGUGAAAAUUAUGGGCUCAACCCAUAACCUGCAUUUGAAACUGUAGUUCUUGAGUGAUGGAGAGGCAGGCGGAAUUCCGUGUGUAGCGGUGAAAUGCGUAGAUAUACGGAGGAACACCAGUGGCGAAGGCGGCCUGCUGGACAUUAACUGACGCUGAGGCGCGAAAGCGUGGGGAGCAAACAGGAUUAGAUACCCGAGUA